ACCGCACGGUAGGAAGGGGUGACGCCUCUGCUAAUUCUCCCUCCAUGACGAUGUGCUCUCCUACUCCAAGAUCACUGUCGGGUCCUACCCACCAACCAUACCCUCAGGAAGCCAACUCCGCCUCAUUGGAAAUUCCAAUUCCAUGUUCUCCUCCUCCUAUUACCGUGGCAGAUGUGGCUGCCGGCAACCCCGGAUGCUUGUAUGACUAGUCCAACUCAAGUCGAUACUGCUACUGGGCUAGGAAAGAAACCAUUGCUCUUCUACUCAUUGUUGUGAGGUCGAGAAGUUCUACUAGUAGUGCAAUCCAGGU